UACAGAGGUCUCAAGCGUUGUUCGGAUUCAUUGGGCGUAAAGGGUGCGUAGGCGGCGCGGUAAGUCGGGUGUGAAAUCUUGGAGCUUAACUCCGAAACUGCAUUCGAUACUGCUGUGCUUGAGGACUGGAGAGGAGACUGGAAUUUACGGUGUAGCAGUGAAAUGCGUAGAGAUCGUAAGGAAGACCAGUGGCGAAGGCGGGUCUCUGGACAGUUCCUGACACUGAGGCACGAAGGCCAGGGGAGCAAACGGG
rnacentral:rRNA from 1 species